GGCUAGCGGCAGGCUUAUACAUGCAAGUCAAGGGGGUAGCAAUACAACCGGCGCACGGGUGAGUAACGCGUACACAACAUGCCAUAUACUGGGGUAUAGCUUUGGGAAACUGAAGGUAAUCCCCCAUAGUAUUGCGGGUAGGCAUCUAUCUGCAAUUAAAGUUUCGACGGUAUAUGAUUGGUGUGCGUUCCAUUAGCUAGUUGGUAGGGUAACGGCCUACCAAGGCGACGAUGGGUAGCUGGCGUGAGAGCGCGACCAGCCACACUGGAACUGAGACACGGUCCAGACUCCUACGGGAGGCAGCAGUAGGGAAUAUUGGACAAUGGGCGAAAGCCUGAUCCAGCCAUGCCGCGUGAUAGAUGAAGGCCCUCUGGGUUGUAAAUAUCUUUUAUCUGGGAAGAAACUCCUCUAUUCUUAGAGGCCUGACGGUACCAGAGGAAUAAGCACCGGCUAACUCCGUGCCAGCAGCCGCGGUAAUACGGAGGGUGCAAGCGUUAUCCGGAUUCACUGGGUUUAAAGGGUGCGUAGGCGGGUUGAUAAGUCAGUGGUGAAAGCUCCGGGCUUAACUUGGAAACUGCCAUUGAUACUGUCAAUCUUGAAUGUCGUAGAGGUAAGCGGAAUGUUGCAUGUAGCGGUGAAAUGCUUAGAUAUGUUACAGAACACCAAUUGCGAAGGCAGCUUACUAUGCGAUAAUUGACGCUGAGGCACGAAAGCGUGGGGAGCAAACAGGAUUAGAUACCCCUGGUAGUCCACGCCCUAAACGAUGAUUACUCGAUGUUGGCGAUAUACAGUCAGCGUCUUAGCGGAAAGCGUUAAGUAAUCCACCUGGGGAGUACGCUCGCAAGAGUGAAACUCAAAUGAAUUGACGGAA
rnacentral:rRNA from 1 species